UACGUAGGGGGCAAGCGUUGUCCGGAUUUAUUGGGCGUAAAGCGCGUGUAGGCGGCUCGGUAAGUCCGUUGUGAAAACUCGAGGCUCAACCUCGAGACGUCGAUGGAAACCAUCUAGCUAGAGUCCGGAAGAGGAGAGUGGAAUUCCUGGUGUAGCGGUGAAAUGCGCAGAUAUCAGGAGGAACACCGGCGGCGAAGGCGGCGACCUGGCUGGAUACUGACGCUGAGGAGCGAAAGCGUGGGGAGCAAACAGG
rnacentral:rRNA from 1 species